AGCAGCCGCGGUAAUUCCAGCUCCAAUAGCGUAUAUUAAAGUUGUUGCAGUUAAAAAGCUCGUAGUUGAAUUUUGGGUCUGGCCGGGCGGUCCGCCCUCCGGGUGAGCACUGUUCCGACGCCGGGCCUAUCCUUCUGGUGAGUCGGCAUGUCCUUUGUUGGGUGUGUCGGGGAACCAGGACCAUUACCUUGAAAAAAAUUAGAGUGUUCAAAGCAGGCGUAUGCUCGGAUACAUUAGCAUGGAAUAAUGAAAUAGGACGCGUGGUGCUAUUUUGUUGGUUUCUAGAACCGCCGUAAUGAUUAAUAGGGAUAGUUGGGGGCAUUAGUAUUCAAUUGUCAGAGGUGAAAUUCUUGGAUUUAUUGAAGACUAACUUCUGCGAAAGCAUUUGCCAAGGAUGUUUUCAUUAAUCAAGAACGAAAGUUAGGGGAUCGAAGACGAUCAAAUACCGUCGUAGUCUUAACCAUAAACUAUGCCGACUAGGAAUCGGGCGAUGUUAUUCUCAUGACUCGCCCGGCGCCUU
rnacentral:misc_RNA from 1 species